rfam:Gorilla gorilla gorilla genomic chromosome, chr15, whole genome shotgun sequence
GCCAGGCGUGGUGGCAUGCACCUGUAGUCCCAGCUACUUGGGAGGCUGAGGUGGGAGGAUGGCUUGAGCCCAGGAGUUGGAGGCUGCAGUGAGCUAUGAUUGUGCCACUGCACUUCCAGCCUGGGCAACAGAGUGAGACCCUGUCUCAC